GGGCUGGCGGCGUGCUUACCAUGCAAGUCGAACGAUGAUGCCCAGCUUGCUGGGCGGAUUAGUGGCGAACGGGUGAGUAAUACGUGAGUAACCUGCCCUUGACUCUGGGAUAAGCCUGGGAAACUGGGUCUAAUACUGGAUACUACCUCUUACCGCAUGGUGGGUGGUGGAAAGGGUUUUACUGGUUUUGGAUGGGCUCACGGCCUAUCAGCUUGUUGGUGGGGUAAUGGCUCACCAAGGCGACGACGGGUAGCCGGCCUGAGAGGGUGACCGGCCACACUGGGACUGAGACACGGCCCAGACUCCUACGGGAGGCAGCAGUGGGGAAUAUUGCACAAUGGGCGGAAGCCUGAUGCAGCGACGCCGCGUGAGGGAUGACGGCCUUCGGGUUGUAAACCUCUUUCAGUAGGGAAGAAGCGAGAGUGACGGUACCUGCAGAAGAAGCGCCGGCUAACUACGUGCCAGCAGCCGCGGUAAUACGUAGGGCGCAAGCGUUGUCCGGAAUUAUUGGGCGUAAAGAGCUCGUAGGCGGUUUGUCGCGUCUGCUGUGAAAGCCCGGGGCUCAACCCCGGGUCUGCAGUGGGUACGGGCAGACUAGAGUGCAGUAGGGGAGACUGGAAUUCCUGGUGUAGCGGUGAAAUGCGCAUAUAUCAGGAGGAACACCGAUGGCGAAGGCAGGUCUCUGGGCUGUUACUGACGCUGAGGAGCGAAAGCAUGGGGAGCGAACAGGAUUAGAUACCCUGGUAGUCCAUGCCGUAAACGUUGGGCACUAGGUGUGGAGGACAUUCCACGUUUUCCGCGCCGUAGCUAACGCAUUAAGUGCCCCGCCUGGCGAGUGCGGCCGCAAGGCUGAAACUAAAGGAAUUGACGGGGGGCGCACAAGCGGCGGAGCAUGCAGAUUAAUCUAUGCAUCACGAAGAACCUUACAACGUCUGGACGUUCACCGGACCGGCCCAGAGAUGGGGUUUCCCUCGGGGCUGGUGGACAGG
rnacentral:rRNA from 1 species